CCUUGAGAGACCCCCUCCCUAACGUCUUCUUCUCCUUCACAAGAAGAGGGGAUCGAUACACAAAACAAAAACCUAAAGCCAUAAGCAGAGAACAAGAACCAGGGGACCUUCAGCCGUUUCCCUCAUCUGAUUUUGCUUCUUCUUCACUCUGAAUACACACACACACAAAAACCAACGAAGACCUAGAUCCCUUAGAGCUAGGCUUUUCAACGACAAAACACCAAAAGGACCCCCAGCCAGAUCUCGAUCUUCUUCAACCAAACCAACGACCCCUGCUCUCUUCAAAUGCACAAACAACCACUCACUUUACUUCACCAACCCUUUCCAUCGUUGCUCCUUCGGCUUCAAAGUUUCAGAAAAUUGGAGAGGAAAAUUAGGCAAGUGAAGAGUCGAAUUUCAGUGUCAUUUUUUUAUUUUGUUUCGUAAAUGAGGUCGAGAUGAGGUUUGAAGUCGUUGAUGCCCGAGGUUUGCCGAUCGAGCUCCAGGUCCCUCUCUUUCUCUUGAUGUUAAUUGAAGUAUGAUGGUGGACUGAAUUUGGUGUGGGUUUACUUACCGGAGUUUGAGCAUGACAGACGCCCCAGGACCAUCCAGUCAGGAUCACUUAUUUAGGAGUUUGCUUGAGGAGAUUUUCUUUAUGUUUUUAGUCUGUUGUUCAUUUUUAUAUCAUCUUUUACCUUCUAGUUUUGUAUAGUAAUGUCGAGUCUUUUAGGUGAUAUUAGAGUUUGUCAUAGUCUAGUUAAGUUUACCGAGUCUUUUGUUAUUGUAUUUCUUAUUUUGUAUUUGGAAAUGUGUUA